CUUUUGUGCUACUCAUUUUUUAGUGAGUCAAUUCCAUCACGUAUAAAUUAUAAUAGUUGCAAAAUAUGGUUAUAAGGUUUAUUUGAGGGAGAAGAAUAAGUUGAAAAAUGCUCUUAAGGGUAGCAAAUUUGCCUUACCACGGAUACAUAGGCAUCCGUACAGAAUUUUAAUUACAUGUGUCUCACUACACACUUUAUUGAUGAAGAUUAAAAAAUGUAUAAAAGAAUUAUCAACUUUUGUAGGGUGGAAAACCAUAAGGGUGAGACACUUGGUAAGAAAAUUGAAAUGUGUUUACUUGAAUGGGGGAGAUCAAGAAUCUUUACAAUUACACUUGAUAAUACAAGUUCAAAUAAUAAGACAAUUUCAUAUAUAAAAAGAAAGACGUAAUAGAAAUGAUACAAUUUUAGAACAUGAGUUCUUGCAUAUGAGAUGUUGUGCUCAUAUCUUAAACUUGAUUGUUCGGGACAGGUUGAAAGAAUUAGAUCAAUCAAUUGCAAGAACUAGAUGGGUUGUGAAGUAUGUGAAAUAUUCUUACAAAUGUGGAGUAUGUUUAAGCAAUGUUGUGAAAAUGAGGAAAAUACGUAUAAAAAUCACUUAUGCUUAGACGUAGAAUUCGGUGGAACUCCACUUAUAUGAUGUUAGUUGUGGUUGAAAAACUCCAAAAUGCAUUUCAACAGCUAGAGGAGGAAGAUUUAGGUUAUGUUAAGAGUGUUGGAGAGGAGGCCAGAUAGUGAUGAUGAUGACAGUAUGAGUAAAGGAGUGGCAUCCAUGUUAGGGCCUCCAAACAAGGACAAUUGGGAUAAUAGUAGGUUGUUUGUAAAGUUUUAAAUUUUUUUAUGAUGCAACCUUGCGUUUCUCAAGCUCCACUUUUGUCACUUGCAAUUCUUUUUUCAUGGAACUAACGACAAUUUAAGAUGCAAUUAAUAUGGAGUGUGUGGAAGGGCCCCAUAAAUUGAUGUCAAUGGCAUGUAAUAUAAGGUCUAAAUUAAAGUAUUAGGGUAAUUUUGAAAAAAUAAAUCUAUUGUUGUAUGUUGGGUUGGUUCUUGAUUCUUGAUAUAAAUUGCGAUAUCUUGAAUUUUGUUUUGAAUGUAUGUAUGUUAAUGGUAAUUUGAGUGUUUUUAUAUUGGUGAACCGAGUUAAAGAUGUAUUGACUCAUUUAUACAAUAGUUAUUGUGAAAUGAAGGAGUUGAUGUUGGGUACAAGAUCAAACCAUAAACCAAUCAAGUAAGGGAGGGACUAGUACUACAAAUGCAACUACUCAGGUGAAAGAUAUGAGAACUCCCGGAAGAAGUUGGAAAUUCUUUAAAACCUAUUUCAGUUGUUGGAGAUGAUUAAGGUUUAUUUGAAUGGACUCUUGGAGUUGGCGCAUAUGGGCUAGUUGUAUUGUUGAAUUGUGUAAUUUAGACUCUUGGUACUGUAUUUUUAUUUUUAUUUUCUAAUCUAGACACUUGAGGAGAUUGUUAGUUGUUACUACUGUAUUUUUAGUUUUAUUUUGUAAUCUUGUCACUUGAGGAGACUGUUAAUGCUGUAUUUUUAGUUUUAUUUUGUACUAUGAACACUGGAGUCCAGAUUUUUUAUGGACACUUCAGGACACUACACUAGAUAUUUUAUGAUAUGAGCUCUGUGAUAG